rnacentral:rRNA from 1 species
GACGAACGCUGGCGGCGUGCUUAACACAUGCAAGUCGAACGGACAGGCCCUGCUUUUGUGGGGUGCUCGAGUGGGGCACGGGUGAGUAAAACGUGAGUAUACUGCCCUUGACUUUGGGAUAAAUUCAGGAGACUGGGGCUAUUACAGGAUAGGAGCUCCUGCUGCAUGGUGGGGGUUGGAAAGUUUCGGCGGUUGGGGAUGGACUCGCGGCUUAUCAGCUUGUUGGUGAGGUAGUGGCUUACCAAGGCUUUGAAGGGUAGGCGGCGUGAGAGGGGGACCAGCCACAAGGGUACUGAGAGACGGAGCAGACUCCUACGGGACGCAGCAGUGGGGAAUAUUACACAAUGAGCGGAAGCCUGAUGCAGCAACGCCGCGUGCGGGAUGACGGCCUUCUGGUUGUGAACCGCUGUCUCCUGUGACGAAGCGUGAGUGACGGUAAUGGGUAAAAAAGCACCGGCUAACUACGUG